AGAGAGAGAGCGAGAGAGAGAGAGAGAGAGAGAGAUCCGGAAAAAUCAAUGCAGAAAUAAAGCAGCCGAGUCGCUGAAAUCGCAUUUUCUCCGGUGAAGCUCGAGCAGACCCGGUGUGUCGCGAUGGGGAACCAGGGGAUGGAGGACCUGAUCCCGCUGGUCAACCGAAUGCAGGAUGCGUUCUCCGCCAUCGGACAGAACGCGAACCUGGACCUGCCGCAGAUCGCGGUGGUGGGCGGACAGAGCGCCGGGAAAAGCUCCGUGCUCGAGAACUUCGUGGGGAAGGAUUUUCUCCCGCGCGGCUCUGGCAUCGUCACACGCCGUCCUCUCGUCCUGCAGCUCAUCAACUGCCCCACAGAAUAUGCCGAGUUCCUCCACUGUAAGGGGAAGAAGUUCACGGACUUCGAUGAGGUGCGUCAGGAGAUCGAGGCGGAGACGGAUCGAGUCACAGGACAGAAUAAAGGCAUUUCACCGGUGCCCAUCAACCUGCGCGUCUACUCCCCAAACGUGCUGAACCUGACUCUGGUGGAUCUGCCGGGGAUGACUAAAGUGCCGGUGGGAGAUCAGCCCGCAGACAUCGAGCAUCAGAUCAGAGACAUGCUGAUGCAGUUUGUGACCAAAGACAACUGUCUGCUGCUGGCCGUGUCGCCCGCCAACUCUGACCUGGCCAACUCUGACGCCCUGAAGAUCGCCAAAGAAGUCGACCCGCAGGGUCUGCGGACCAUCGGUGUGAUCACUAAACUGGAUCUGAUGGAUGAAGGGACCGACGCUCGGGAUAUCCUGGAAAACAAGCUGCUUCCGCUGCGGAGAGGUUACAUCGGUGUGGUGAACCGCAGUCAGAAAGACAUCGACGGGAGGAAGGAUAUUAAUGCUGCUAUGGCGGCGGAGAGGAAGUUUUUCCUGUCUCAUCCCGGUUACAGACACCUGGCCGACCGCAUGGGAACGCCGUUCCUGCAGAAAACACUCAACCAGCAACUGACCAAUCACAUCCGAGACACGCUCCCCGCGCUGCGCACCAAACUGCAGAGUCAGCUGCUGUCCAUCGAGAAGGAAGUGGAGGAAUACAAGAACUUCCGUCCUGACGAUCCGUCCCGGAAGACCAAAGCCCUGCUGCAGAUGGUGCAGCAGUUCUCGGUGGACUUCGAGAAGCGCAUCGAGGGCUCUGGAGAUCAGAUAGACACGGAUGAGCUGUCUGGAGGAGCCAAAAUCAAUCGCAUCUUCCACGAGCGCUUCCCCUUCGAGCUGGUGAAGAUGGAGUUUGAUGAGAAGGAGCUGCGCAAGGAGAUCAGCUACGCCAUCAAGAACAUCCACGGCAUCAGAACUGGGCUCUUCACGCCGGACAUGGCCUUUGAGACCAUUGUGAAAAGGCAGAUUGGGAAGAUUAAAGAGCCGUGCCAGAAAUGUGUGGACAUGGUCAUUUCUGAGCUAGUCAAUACUGUUAGACAGUGUACCAAGAAGCUGGCCCAGUAUCCCAUGCUGAGAGAAGAGAUGGAGCGGAUCGUCACGCAGCACAUCCGCGACCGCGAGAGCCGCACUAAACAACAGGUGCUGCUGCUGAUCGACAUCGAGCUGGCGUACAUGAACACCAACCACGAGGACUUCAUCGGGUUUGCCAAUGCGCAGCAGAGAAGCAGUCAGAUUAACAAGAAGAAAGCAGCUGGUAAUCAGGGCCAGGAUGAAAUCAUGGUGAUCAGGAAGGGCUGGCUGACCAUCAAUAACAUCGGCAUCAUGAAGGGCGGCGCUAAAGAGUACUGGUUUGUCCUGACGGCCGAAUCUCUGUCCUGGUACAAGGAUGAUGAGGAGAAAGAGAAGAAGUACAUGCUGCAGGUGGACAACCUGAAGCUCAGAGACGUGGAGAAGGGCUUCAUGUCCAGCAAACACAUCUUUGCCCUGUUCAACACUGAGCAAAGGAACGUGUAUAAGGACUACCGUCAGCUGGAGCUGGCCUGUGAGACCCAGGAGGAUGUGGACGGGUGGAAAGCGUCGUUCAUGCGUGCCGGCGUCUAUCCUGAGCGCGUGGUGGAGAAGGAAAAGAGCGACGCUGGAGACGAGAACGGGUCGGACAACUUCAUGCACUCCAUGGACCCUCAGCUGGAGAGGCAGGUGGAGACCAUCCGAAACCUGGUGGACUCCUACAUGAGCAUCGUCAACAAGACCGUACGAGACCUGAUGCCCAAGACCAUCAUGCAUCUGAUGAUCAGUAAUACGAAGGAGUUCAUCAAUGCGGAGCUGCUGGCUCAGCUGUACUCGUGUGGAGAUCAGAACACACUGAUGGAGGAGUCGGCCGAACAAGCGCAGCGGCGAGACGAGAUGCUACGCAUGUACCACGCGCUCAGAGAAGCACUCAACAUCAUCGGGGACAUCAGCACCACCACCAUCACCACCUCUCUGCCUCCACCUGUGGACGACUCCUGGCUCCAGGUGCAGCGCACGGGCUCCGGAGGACGGUCUCCGGCGGCCAGCCCGACCCCUCAGAGACGGGCCCCUCCUCCGGGGCCUCCUGCACGCCCAGGUUCUCGUGGCUCGGCCCCGGGGCCCCCUGCAGCCGGAGGGCCACCAGUUCCCUCUCGCCCAGGAGCCUCUCCAGACCCCUUCGGCGGGCCCCCCCCUCAGGUCCCGUCCCGUCCUAACCGUGCUCCUCCCGGCGUGCCCAGAAUUACAAUCAGUGACCAAUGAGGACUAACACUUCUGUGGUCCCUGAGCUCACGGGCCAGAAGACGACACCAGACUCCCUGAAGGCCGGUCAAACACAGGUGACCCUUCUCGCCCCUUCUCUCCACGCGACCCUUAGCAUCAUUUCUUCUUCUGUUCCUCCCCGUCGAGUAAAACAACCCAAACCCACCAGCACAAGAGAAACCUUCCAGAUGUUUCCAGCAUCCUCGGAUUGAGAAACCAGUUUCAAGCUCAUUGUGGAGAUCAUUAUCAUGACCAUCAAACCUAAAAGAAACUCGUCAAAGGGAUAGUUCACCCUCGUGUCGAUUCCAACCAGUUUUCCUUUUUCCGUGGAACACAAAAGAUAAUAUUCUGAAGCAGUAAACCGUUUCGGGUCCCAUUGACUUCCAUAGUUUGGACAAACAGUACUGUGAAACUCAAGGGGACCCGAAACUAUUUGCUCUUCAAAAUAUCUCUUUGUAUAUAUCUGUUCCACAGCCAUUUAUUCCCCACACUGCAAACAAUCCUUAUUUUAGUCUCUUUUUCCAUUUAAAAGGAAGUUCAGCUACCGGAAACCCUGAAAAAUGCACUAAAGUAGGGAUCUUCUUGCAGUGCAAACCUUGUGACGAUGUAAAGUACGAGGACGUGUGUUCACUCUCAGUGAUUGUGCUCAGAAAUCAUUCAUUCAUCAGUGAAUCUGAGCCUUCGGUGGAGCUGGAUUGAAUUAGAGAGUGUCACUUUAAACACAGAAGUGCUGUUUCAGGGUGAACAGACGUCCUCGAGCUGGAUGAGAUGCUUGUGUGUUUACAACUGAGUUAAUAAACGAGUAGAGACUGAUGCUGAAGACUGUUGAAUGAUCAUGUCCAGAUGGUUUUCCACACAAAGGCUAUGUUUAGAAUUUAAUACUUGCUUACUGUAUAUACUUACUAUACAGUAUACACUGCUUACUGUUCUUAACAAAUAGCAUGUGGAAGUGCACUAUUCAAUGCUAAACAGUAGUAUGCAACAUUGUCGGCUCGUUGCAUGUUUAAAUUUAGUUCUUUUUGCAUUUUUAAGUCUGAUACAUGUACAAAUUUUUGCAAACGUAGUCUGUAAUUUGGGUGUUCAUACAGAUCUGUAAAUGGUGUGCAUACUAUAUAAUAAUAGCAGUAGUAUGAUAUUCUGAACAUAGCUGCAUAUGAUUGAAGGUGCUGUAAGCUAUUUGUAUUGAUUCCACCGCAUCAAUCAAGCCACAAAUGAUUUCGUAUCAGAUAAAAAAAAGUGGAUAUUAUAAAUAGUUUAGAGCACCUUUAAACGCCACCAAUGGACAUUUUUCAUGUGUGCUGAAAAACUGUCCCUGUGCAUUGAGAUUAUGCAACUAUAUCUCAAGUCUAAGAUUUUAUUGUCUGUAAUUUAAGAUCUCAAGAUGGUCUAUGCAUAGAAAUCAUUCCAGUUUGUUCAGGUGUUUUGUCGAAUACGAACACACCCCUCCACAACCGUGGACUGUGAAUCUGUCGUGUGUUGUAAUAAUUCUAAAGAUUAUAAAGUCUGUGUUGCUGAUCGUUGAUGUUGUGGCAUGAGCAGACGGUUUCAUCUGUACUAAUAUCAAUAAUAUGUUUCUGUCUUCAACAUGCUCACCAAAUCUUCCCAGAAUCCACUGGGAGUCUUAGUAAGACCCACUAAACAGACAAUAUUUACCGUUAUUUAAGAGUUUGUCAUGGACAUACUGUAUCUUAAGUGAGUCCCGUGUCUUUGUGGUGCAUUUAUGCAAAUUGUGCUUCCACUGUUUUAGAGACUAGUCCACAUGUAUGAUUAUUGAAUAUUAAAUUAUUAUGGGUAAAUAAAGCAGGCCUCUUUCUGUGUUUGGACAGAAAGGUGUUAUGAUACUGAGUGUGUAACGUGUGAAUGAAUGUGUGUGUGUGUGUGUGUGUGUGUGUAACGUGUUCUGCUCGGGCGAGUUUGUCAAGCUGGACUCUGUCAUCAUUAAACUUCAGUGUACGGAAA